rnacentral:rRNA from 1 species
CUUCCCCAAUGGACGAAAGUCUGAUGGAGCAACGCCGCGUGAGUGAUGAAGGUUUUCGGAUCGUAAAACUCUGUUGUAAGGGAAGAACAAGUACGUUAGGAAAUGAACGUACCUUGACGGUACCUUAUUAGAAAGCCACGGCUAACUACGUGCCAGCAGCCGCGGUAAUACGUAGGUGGCAAGCGUUGUCCGGAUUUAUUGGGCGUAAAGCGCGCGCAGGUGGUUUCUUAAGUCUGAUGUGAAAGCCCACGGCUCAACCGUGGAGGGUCAUUGGAAACUGGGGAACUUGAGUGCAGAAGAGGAUAGUGGAAUUCCAAGUGUAGCGGUGAAAUGCGUAGAGAUUUGGAGGAACACCAGUGGCGAAGGCGACUGUCUGGUCUGUAACUGACACUGAGGCGCGAAAGCGUGGGGAGCAAACAGGAUUAGAUACCCUGGUAGUCCACGCCGUAAACGAUGAGUGCUAAGUGUUAGGGGGUUUCCGCCCCUUAGUGCUGCAAGCUAACGCAUUAAGCACUCCGCCCGGGGAGUACCACCGCAAGGUUGAAACUCNNAGNAAAUUUGACGGG